rnacentral:rRNA from 1 species
GAUGAACGCUAGCGAUAGGCUUAACACAUGCAAGUCGAGGGGCAGCAUGGUCUUAGCUUGCUAAGACUGAUGGCGACCGGCGCACGGGUGCGUAACGCGUAUGCAACUUGCCUCACAGAGGGGGAUAACCCGUCGAAAGACGGACUAAUACCGCGUACACUCUAUGUUGGGCAUCCAAUGUAGAGGAAAUGAAAUUCGCUGUGAGAUAGGCAUGCGUCCCAUUAGCUAGUUGGUGAGGUAACGGCUCACCAAGGCGACGAUGGGUAGGGGAACUGAGAGGUUGAACCCCCACACUGGUACUGAGACACGGACCAGACUCCUACGGGAGGCAGCAGUGAGGAAUAUUGGUCAAUGGGCGAGAGCCUGAACCAGCCAAGUCGCGUGAAGGAUGACUGUCUUAUGGAUUGUAAACUUCUUUUAGACGGGAAUAACAAGAGCCACGUGUGGCUCCCUGCAUGUACCGUAUGAAUAAGCAUCGGCUAACUCCGUG